rnacentral:rRNA from 1 species
UGCUAUACAUGCAAGUCGAGCGAACAGAUAAGGAGCUUGCUCCUUUGACGUUAGCGGCGGACGGGUGAGUAACACGUGGGUAACCUACCUAUAAGACUGGAAUAACUCCGGGAAACCGGGGCUAAUGCCGGAUAACAUUUAGAACCGCAUGGUUCUAAAGUGAAAGAUGGUUUUGCUAUC